AUUGAACGCUGGCGGCAGGCCUAACACAUGCAAGUCGAACGAGUGGCGGACGGGUGAGGAAUGUCUGGGAAACUGCCUGAUGGAGGGGGAUAACUACUGGAAACGGUAGCUAAUACCGCAUACCAUCGGAUGUGCCCAGAUGGGAUUAGCUAGUAGGUUGGGUAAAGGCUCACCUAGGCGACGAUCCCUAGCUGGUCUGAGAGGAUGACCAGCCACACGGGAACUGAUACACGGUCCAGACUCCUACGGGUGGCAGCUGUGGGGAGUAUUGCACAAUGGGCGCAAGCCUUAUGCAUCCAUGCCGCGUGUAUGAGGAAGGCCUUCGGGUUGUAAAGUACGUUCAGCGGGGAGGCGUUACCCGCAGAGGAAGCACCGGCUAACUCCGUGCCAGCCGCCGCGGUAAUAC
rnacentral:rRNA from 1 species